UACGUAGGGGGCAAGCGUUGUCCGGAAUCAUUGGGCGUAAAGAGCGUGUAGGCGGCCCGGUAAGUCCGCUGUGAAAGUCGGGGGCUCAACCCUCGAAUGCCGGUGGAUACUGUCGGGCUAGAGUGCGGAAGAGGCGAGUGGAAUUCCUGGUGUAGCGGUGAAAUGCGCAGAUAUCAGGAGGAACACCCGUGGCGAAGGCGGUUCUCUGGGACGGUACUGACGCCUGGAGACGCGAAAGCGUGGGGAGCGAACAGG
rnacentral:rRNA from 1 species